AACGGUCUAUACCUGCGGUACCUGCGGAAGGAUCAUUACAGAGUUACUACUCCAAACCCAUUGUGAACCUUACCUAUGUUCUGUUGCCUCGGCGGCGCGGUCAGCGCCCCUCUGAAAAGAGGACGAUGCCCUCCCGCCGGCAGCACCAAACUCUUGAAUUUUACAGCGGAUUACAGUUCUGAUUUAAAAACAAAAAAAACAAGUUAAAACUUUCAGCAACGGAUCUCUAGAUCGGAAGAG
rnacentral:misc_RNA from 1 species